GCAAAGGCUCUUUUCAGAGCCACUUAAGCCAGGUAUAGAAAGACAA
rfam:Pan troglodytes isolate Yerkes chimp pedigree #C0471 (Clint) chromosome X, whole genome shotgun sequence.